UAUCUCUACUUGUGUGAAUUAUCUUCUCCUACGUAAUAUCUCUUCAGUUUCAGCAAUAAUUUGAAGGCGAUGAAGAUGGGAGACGGAAGUAUAUAUAAAGAUGGAAGAAAUUAGCCGCCCUCUUGUUCUAAACACAUCUGAUUGAGAUUUCGGGUAUGCGUUUCUUGCAUACAGUAAAAAACCAGAUGAAUAUAUCAUGAGAGUAGUGCAGUUGACUCUACUGCUGUUGUUAUUAUCCCUUUGUUUUCCCUUGUAGUGCUUUGUUUUAUUGAUCUACUCAUGAAACAGCUAUGUGGGUGGCUUGCCAUUAUAUUUUAUUGAAGUUUCUAUGGUUGUCUCAGCUGCUAGUAGUAGUAAUUUCGCCAUUAUUAAUUUUCUAUUGAUUAUUUCUGAGGCUGGAGAAUUAUGAGAGCAUAAGCAUGUUCCUACCAUGGAAAAUGGGAUUUAUUUUUACUUUUUUCCUUUUUUUCACUUGUCU
rnacentral:lncRNA from 1 species